rnacentral:tRNA from 1 species
ACAGUGGUGGUUCAGUGGUAGAACUCUCACUUUCUAUGCAGGAGACCUAGGUUUGAUUCCUGACCAGUGUA